rnacentral:rRNA from 1 species
GGAAGCUUGCUUCCGGCUGACGAGUGGCGGACGGGUGAGUAAUGCAUAGGAAUCUGCCCAUGUAGUGGGGGACAACCUGGGGAAACUCAGGCUAAUACCGCAUACGCCCUACGGGGGAAAGCAGGGGAUCUUCGGACCUUGCGCUAUUGGAUGAGCCUAUGUCUGAUUAGCUUGUUGGUGGGGUAAAGGCCUACCAAGGCGACGAUCAGUAGCUGGUCUGAGAGGACGAUCAGCCACACUGGGACUGAGACACGGCCCAGACUCCUACGGGAGGCAGCAGUGGGGAAUAUUGGACAAUGGGGGCAACCCUGAUCCAGCAAUGCCGCGUGUGUGAAGAAGGCCUGCGGGUUGUAAAGCACUUUCAAUUGGGAAGAAAAGCUGAAGGUUAAUACCCUUCAGUCUUGACAUUAUCUUUAGAAGAAGCACCGGCUAACUCCGUGCCAGCAGCCGCGGUAAUACGGANGGGUGCAAGCGUUAAUCGGAAUUACUGGGC